AUAUGCUUACCUCAAAGACUAGCCAUGCAAGCCCAAGUUCAUACCUUGACACGGUGAAACUGCGAAUCGCUCAGUAAAUCAGUUAUUGUUUAUCCGACUGUACCUCGAAGUGGGACGGGGCGCCUCACGGUGCCUCGCCUGCAACACACACACUGGAUAACUGUGGGAAACCAGAGCUAAUACAUGUCACCUGCUGCCCCUAUGCUGGGUAGCGUGCAUUUAUUCGCCCACUCUGUCACGAGAAACCGACCCGGCCAGCUAGGGGCGACCCGGAGGGCCGGAGCUGGUGAUUCUGAAUAACUGAUGCUGAUCGCGACACGGGUCCCCCUCACCAGGGGGCAACCCAGCGACGUCUCGGUCAAAUUUCUGCCCCAUCAUACCGGUUGGUAGGGUAGCGGCCUACCAAGGUGGUGACGGGUAACGGGGAAUCAGGGUUCGAUUCCGGAGAGGGAGCCUGAGAGACGGCUACCACAUCCAAGGAUGGCAGCAGGCGCGCAAACUAUCCAAUGCACAAUGUGUGAGAUGGUGACGAGGUGUACCGGCGUCCGGUGACUCAGUCACUUGGGCUACCGAUUAGACGCUAAGCCAGCCCGCUAGCGGUCAGUUCAACAGGAGGGCCAGUCUGGUGCCAGCAGCCGCGGUAAUACCAGCUCCUGUAGGCUAUGCCUUAGUUGUUGCGGUUAAAAAGUUCGUAGUUGAAAUUCGGCACGCAGCUGUGCUGCCCUCCAGCGGGUGGCCCGGUGCAGCGCUAGAAGGGGCCGGUCUUGUGCGCCCUGGAGUGCCCUGCUGCACCAGCCCCCGAAGGACGCAAGUGGCGCACGGUGCAGCGUGUCUCUCGUGAGCUGCCUCGCACCGAGAGGUGCGCGGUGGUUGCGACAAAAUUGUGCCUUGAGUAAAACAGAGUGCUCCAAGCAGGCGUGACCGGAGGCUGGGACACUUGAUUGUGCCCGGCGGAAGAUCACACGCUCGCAUGCUCUAGCAGGGAACGAAUGUUCAAUUGCUUGAACCACCUCGCUGUGCUAGUUGGUCGGUAACGCGCCUUUCCUCAGCGUUAGGCCUAGCCAGCGUGCGUCCGUCAGAGUACCCGGAGGGUCUGCGAAGAGCCCACCGUCAGCGACAGCCCGGAGUGAGAAUGUAGCGUGAUACAAAAGGGCCGGGCAGCAGGCCUCUGGAGAUGCUGCCACAGCAAGUGGUGCCGGAGGCGAGACGGAGCGCGCCGGGCACUACACCUAAGGCGGAGGUCAGGCAGUAACCAGCGCUCCCGCAAGGGACGCGCCCUGUCUCUGCUAGUGCCGACAAGGGGCCGGUUCGCACCAUCUCCGGCCAUCCACGGCAGCGCCCAGAGAGCCAGCGCUCGCGUUCCCGUACGUGCAAACAACCACCACCGAUCCGGGUGACGGACCGCGGACUCGCAGGGGACGGCCAGCGCGCCCAGGCAGGAGGCGCUCCACGACUGAGGCGCAAUGCCUGGCCUGGGACGCGCCGUCCUGGUGUACGCCCCCGGGAGUACUGCUCUGGCGAGAGACGCCUGGGUAUCGGUUAAGAGAAGCAUUUGGGGGCAUUGGUACUUGGCCGCGAGAGGUGAAAUUCUUAGACCGGUCAAAGACUGACAAUUGCGAAGGCAUCUGCCAAGGGUGUUUUCAUUAAUCAAGAACGAAGGUUGGAGGAUCGAUGACGAUUAGAUACCGUCGUAGUUCCAACAGUAAACUAUGCCAACCAGGGCUCAGCCCCACACACAAAUGGUCGUUGUCCAGGCGCUGCCGGCGUGCGCCCCCCGGGUCCACGGCAGGCCGGGACCUGAGAGGACCAGGGUUGGGCCCCCCGGGAAACCUAAAGUGUUUGGGUUCCGGGGGGAGUAUGGUCGCAAGGCUGAAACUUAAAGGAAUUGACGGAAGGGCACCACCAGGAGUGGAACCUGCGGCUCAAUUUGACUCAACACGGGGAACCUUACCAGGUCCGGCCACGCGUACGAUCGCCAGACUGAUAGCUCUUGCGUGAUUGCGUGAAAGGUGGUGCAUGGCCAGUCUUAGUCCGUGGAGUGAUUUGUCAGCUCAAGUGCUCGAACGUGUAGUGAGGUGCGGGUCGGGUUCCGGUGGUGCUGCUGCGACAAGCAGGGUGCUGCCCCCCGGCCCUCCACCCACAGCAAUAGAUACAUACGACGCAACUGCGACCGCUGUUUUAUGUUCGGGUGGGUUGUCAGGGCCGGGCAGAGAGGCGCUCUGGCCUCCGCAGCCCCGGGUUCCCGCAGUCAGAUGCCUGUGAGGGUGCACCGACGACCGAGCCCGGGGCGCCACGCGGUUCCAGAGUGUCGCGCUCCCGGUCAGCCACCCCAGACUACACCGGGACUAAUGGAGAAAGUGAAAUCUGUUUGAAGCGCAGCCAUACUAGGUCAGUGAUGCCCUGAGAUGCCCUGGGAUGCACGCGGGUUACACUGGUUGCAACAGAGAGUCGAGCAAUUGUCCCAGGCCGAGAGGCUGAGGUAAUCUGUGCAAUAGCAACCGUGCUGGGGAUUGAGGCCUGAAACGGCCUCAUGAACUUGGAAUUCCUCGUAAGUACGGGUCAUCAGCCCGUGCUGACUACGUCCCUGCCCUUUGUACACACCGCCCGUCGCUACUACCGAUCGGAUGGCUGGGUGAGGACAUGGGAUGGCGGGGGAGACGGGCGC
rnacentral:rRNA from 1 species